rnacentral:rRNA from 1 species
CCUACGGGAGGCAGCAGUGGGGAAUAUUGGACAAUGGGGGAAACCCUGAUCCAGCCAUGCCGCGUGGAUGAUGAAGGCCCUAGGGUUGUAAAGUCCUUUCGACGGGGAAGCGGUACCCGUAGAAGAAGCCCCGGCUAACUUCGUGCCAGCAGCCGCGGUAAUACGAAGGGGGCUAGCGUUGCUCGGAAUCACUGGGCGUAAAGCGCACGUAGGCGGACUCGUAAGUCGGGGGUGAAAUCCUGGAGCUUAACUCCAGAACUGCCUUCGAUACUGCGAGUCUUGAGUUCGGGAGAGGUGAGUGGAACUGCGAGUGUAGAGGUGAAAUUCGUAGAUAUUCGCAAGAACACCAGUGGCGAAGGCGGCUCACUGGCCCGUCUGACGCUGAGGUGCGAAAGCGUGGGGAGCAAACAGGAUUAGAUACCCUUGUAGUC